AAAGUCGUAACAAGGUCUCCGUUGGUGAACCAGCGGAGGGAUCAUUACAGAGUUGCAAAACUCCCAACCAUUGUGAACUUACCCCACCGUUGCUUCGGCGGGUGGCCCCCUCCCCGGGGCCGCGCCGGCCCCCCUCGGGGUCGGCAACCCGUCAGAGGACCGAAACUCUUAGUAACCAUUGGCCUCUCUGAGUAACUUAUACAAUAAGUCAAAACUUUCAACAACGGAUCUCUUGGUUCUG
rnacentral:misc_RNA from 1 species